rnacentral:rRNA from 1 species
UACGUAGGGCGCAAGCGUUGUCCGGAAUUAUUGGGCGUAAAGAGCUCGUAGGCGGCUUGUCACGUCGGGUGUGAAAGCCCGGGGCUUAACCCCGGGUCUGCAUUCGAUACGGGCUAGCUAGAGUGUGGUAGGGGAGAUCGGAAUUCCUGGUGUAGCGGUGAAAUGCGUAGAUAUCUGGAGGAACACCGGUGGCGAAGGCGACAUCCUGGACCGGUAUUGACGCUGAGGCGCGAAAGCCAGGGGAGCAAAGCGGG